rnacentral:rRNA from 1 species
GACAGAGGAUGCAAGCGUUAUCCGGAAUGAUUGGGCGUAAAGCGUCUGUAGGUGGCUUUUUAAGUCUGCCGUCAAAUCCCAGGGCUUAACCCUGGACAGGCGGUGGAAACUACCAAGCUGGAGUACGGUAGGGGCAGAGGGAAUUUCCGGUGGAGCGGUGAAAUGCGUAGAUAUCGGAAGGAACACCAACGGCGAAAGCACUCUGCUGGGCCGACACUGACACUGAGAGACGAAAGCUAGGGGAGCGAAUGGG